UACGUAGGGUGCAAGCGUUAAUCGGAAUUACUGGGCGUAAAGCGUGCGCAGGCGGUGAUGUAAGACAGAUGUGAAAUCCCCGGGCUCAACCUGGGAACUGCAUCUGUGACUGCAUCGCUGGAGUACGGUAGAGGGGGAUGGAAUUCCGCGUGUAGCAGUGAAAUGCGUAGAUAUGCGGAGGAACACCGAUGGCGAAGGCAAUCCCCUGGACCUGUACUGACGCUCAUGCACGAAAGCGUGGGGAGCAAACAGG
rnacentral:rRNA from 1 species